rnacentral:rRNA from 1 species
GACAGAGGGUGCAAACGUUGUUCGGAAUUACUGGGCGUGAAGCGCGUGUAGGCGGCCCUGCAAGUCGGAUGUGAAAUCCCACGGCUCAACCGUGGAAGUGCAUUCGAAACUGCAGGGCUAGAGUCCUGGAGAGGAAGGUGGAAUGCUUGGUGUAGAGGUGAAAUUCGUAGAUAUCAAGCGGAACACCGGUGGCGAAGGCGGCCUUCUGGACAGUGACUGACGCUGAGACGCGAAAGCGUGGGGAGCAAACAGG